rnacentral:misc_RNA from 1 species
UAUUCUCAACCACUCCAACCUUUGCGGGUUGGAUGUGGCUUGGAUGUUGGGGGUUUCUGCGGGCCUCUCUUUUGAGGUCGGCUCCCCUAAAAUGCAUUAGCGGAACCGUUUGCGGUCCGUCGCCGGUGUGAUAAUUAUCUACGCCAUAGACGAAGGCUGCUCUCUGUCUGUUCAGCUUCUAACUGUCCCCCAUGGACAACUUUUUGAAC